rnacentral:tRNA from 1 species
GGGGCCAUAGCUCAGUUGGGAGAGCGCUUGAAUGGCAUUCAAGAGGUCAGGGGUUCGAUUCCCCUUGGCUCCACCA